GAUGAACUGUUUUCAGCCAGGGUCACCCCAGCCCUGGGGUGGAGGCCCAUUGAGGAUGGCCGAGCAGGGGCGGGCGUCCAGGCAGGUCCAGCAGUCCUGGGGGGCUGAGGAGAAGGAGGUCAGGGCUCAGGGAGGCAUCCGCAGAGGGACCUGGCAGGCAGAGCUCCAGAAGGGCGGGAACUGCACAGACAGAAAGCUCCAGAAGGCUGCCUGAGGGUCUCUGAGGCCUCCGGAGUCAGGCGCCAUGCAUGUGGAAGGUGGACUCUUCAGCAUGGGUGGGACCCUAGGGGGCUGUGGACCCCCGGUCCCUGGGACUCACAGGUGGGAGACAGGAGUUCCGACCGCCAGGGGGAGAGUCCUGGAGGAUCCUGGGCUGUCGGCAGCCACCCAGCAGGGCCCGUCCUGGGAGGGGCCCUUCCUGCAGGAAAGGCUGGGCUGGACCUGCUCUGAGAGGCUUCAGAACCAGCCACACGAAGACCAAAGUGAAGAGCAAGGAGCUGAACUCCACGCAGAACACAGCGCAGCGUCCUUUAAAGGAAGGCCAAAAACAACCCAACAAAAAUGCCAGGUGAUCAAAGCCGUCACAGCACAAUGUCCACAUCCAACGAGAAAUUGCUGCUAUGUCCAGACGCAGGGAAAGGUGGCCGUGGGAACGUGAGUCAGCAGCAACAGGCCCAGAAGGGCAGCCAUGGUGGACUUGUCAGACGUGGACCCUGAAAUGACAAUCACAGCGUGAUUUCAGGCAGGAGCCUGAAAUGGUACAGCUUUGGACAUCGGUUUGGCAAAUUCUUUUAGAGAGAAACACACACCUUCCCUAGGACCCCGCAACUCCACUCCUAGUAACCAAGUGAAAUGGAAGGAGUUGUCCUCAGCAAAACGUGUGUGCGGAAGUUCACAGUCACUUUCUCUGUGAUAACCAAGAGCUGGAAACCACUGCAACACCCACCAGCAGGUGAACGGAUUAACACACUGGGCUAGGGCCACACAAUGAGAUGCUACGUGGCAACACAAAAUGAACCGUGGACACACACUGCAUGGCGGAUGAAUAUGCAGACAUCAGGCCACGUGAAGGGAGCCAGGCCCCGAGGCGCCACGCUUUGUGAUUCAGGGUGGUCCCGCUGCGCCCAAGACCCAGCUGCCUCCUCCUCUUCCUGGCUGCAGGGAGUGCUUGUGUCUGAAGAACGCCAGGCUGGUGUCCCCAGAGGGUGGCUGGAGGGGCUCAGAAACCAUUUUCACUUUCUGUCUCCUCCAUGUCUGCACUGUUUGGGGAAGAAAGCACGCAGCCAAAGAGCGUAAAGAGGCUCAGAGGAGGCCCGGGUGCCCUGGAGAGACGCUGCGUCCUGCUGCUCUUUCCCUGACUGUGGAGACAGACUGCCCAGUCUCCUGCAGCAUUUCAGUUACACACACAGCAUUCCUGUCCCGCAGCAGAGAUUUCCCAGAUGAAGGAUUCCCCGGCGGGAGACGGCCCUGCACACAGGUCCUCUGCCACGCUGCUCACCAUGCCUGUGUGUUAUCUCCCCAUGAAAAGUCACCUAGGCCGAGCAUGGUGGCUCACGCCUGUAAUCCCAGCACUUUGGGAGGUGGAGGCGUGCGGAUCAUCUGAGAUCAGGAGUUUGAGACCAUCCUGAGUAACAUGGUGAAACCCCGUCUCUAGGAAGAAUACAAAAAUUAACUGGG
rnacentral:antisense_RNA from 1 species